rnacentral:tRNA from 1 species
AAUAAAGUGCCUGAAAAAGGGUUAUUCUGAUAGGAUAAAUUAUGUAAUUAAAAUUACCUUUAUUA